rnacentral:lncRNA from 1 species
CUCCAAGACACAUAAGAGCAUUGGGGAACUAGGCUAAGAAAGAAAAAUAAACAAAUGACAUACUUAAUAGUCAAUACUGUUUAAUGCAAUUUAUUUUUCUGUGGUUGUGAAUAUGAAGGGUUAGAUGUUAUUGGAAUCCGCUUAUUUAUUUUUUGGUCCAGAAUUAACCCCUCCCCCAUCCCCUCUAAUUUGAAUAUUUAAUCAUGGUUUGGUUGUUCAGAAGGUGAUCUUUGUAUACCAUAAGUCUAUUUUCAAAUGUGUGUUGCUGUUUUACAGUCGUUGAAGUUAUAGGAUUCAGAUAAAGAGGGGGACAAAAAAAUACAUGGAAUUUUUAUCAUAGUUUGAUAUAUGAUUGAUGAUACAAAAACUAAGUACUAACCCUUAUUUAUAAUAGAAUUGAACUCCUAAUUCUACUCAAACA